rnacentral:tRNA from 1 species
GGAGGGGUGGGCGAGUGGACAAAACCACCGGUCUUGAAAACCGGAGAGCUUCGCGGCUCCGUGGGUUCGAAUCCCACCCCCUCCGCCA